rnacentral:rRNA from 1 species
GAUGAACGCUAGCGGCAGGCUUAAUACAUGCAAGUCGAGGGGUAACAUGGGGUAGCAAUACACUUGUAAAGCGGCGAACGGGUGAGGAAUACAUGGGUAAUCUACCAUCGAGUGGGGAAUAACCAACCGAAAGGUUGGCUAAUACCGCGUACGCCUCCGAAUCUUCGGGUUCGGAGGGAAAGCUGCACUGUGAGUGUAGCGCUCUUUGAUGAGCUCAUGUCCUAUCAGCUUGUUGGUAGGGUAACGGCCUACCAAGGCUUUGACGGGUAGCUGGUCUGUGAGGACAGACAGCCAGACUGGGACUGCGACACGGGCCAGACUCCUACGGGAGGCAGCAGUAAGGAAUAUUGCGCAAUGGGCGAAAGCCUGACGCAGCGACGCCGCGUGGGGGAUGAAGGUCUUCGGAUUGUAAACCCCUUUCGGGAGGGAAGAUGGAGCGAGCAAUCGUUCGGACGGUACCUCCAGAAGCAGCCACGGCCAACUUCGUGCCAGCAGCCG